CUGAAGAGACAUGAGAGGUGUAGAAUAAGUGGAAGGCGGUGCGGUUCGGUCCCGUUUCGGCGGGGUUCGGGCGUCCGUCAGUGAAUACCACUACUCUCAUCGUUUCCUUACUUACUCGGUGCAGCGGAGAGCGGAGCAAUGAGUGUUCACGCUCCUAGCGCUAUGUGCGGCGCUAUCUUUGCAAAG
rnacentral:rRNA from 1 species